CAUAUCACAUUGGAACACCAGUUCUUGUAGGAUCACUGAAGUUAAGCAACUCCAAGCUUGGUCAGUACCUAGAGAGGUGACCACUUGGGAAUACUAGGUGCUGUAAG
rnacentral:rRNA from 1 species